rnacentral:misc_RNA from 1 species
GUGAAUCAUCGAAUUUUUGAACGCAAAUUGCACUCCCAGGUAUUCCGGGGAGUAUGCGUGGUUGAGGGUCGUUAAAAUAAAAAAUCGAUGCGUCGCUCUUUUUUUUAAGGGUGAGCGCGUCGGAAUUGAGCCGUCUUUCAAAUGUUAAUUCAUUUUAAAGUAGGUUGAAAUGCAUCCAUCCGGUACUAUUGA